CGAAAGCCUGACGGAGCAACGCCGCGUGUGGGAAGAAGGCCUUUGGGCUGUCAACCACUUUUCUCAGGGAAGAAGACCUGACGGUACCUGAGGAAUCAGCCUCGGCUAACUCCGUGCCAGCAGCCGCGGUAAUACGGAGGAGGCAAGCGUUAUCCGGAAUGAUUGGGCGUAAAGCGUCCGCAGGUGGCCGUUCAAGUCUGCUGUCAAAGCCAGGGGCUCAACUCCUGACCGGCAGUGGAAACUGAACAGCUAGAGUGCGGUAGGGGCAGAGGGAAUUCCCGGUGUAGCGGUGAAAUGCGUAGAGAUCGGGAAGAACACCGGUGGCGAAAGCGCUCUACUGGGUCGCACCUGACCCUCAGGGACGAAAGCUAAGGUAGCG
rnacentral:rRNA from 1 species